rnacentral:rRNA from 1 species
UACAGAGGGUGCGAGCGUUUAAUCGGAAUUACUGGGCGUAAAGCGCGCGUAGGCGGCUUUGCAAGUCGGGGUGUGAAAUCCCCCAGGCUUAACCUGGGGAACUGCAUUCGAGACUGCAUUGCUAGAGUAUGGGGAGAGGGAAGUGGAAUUUCCGGUGUAGCGGUGAAAUGCGUAGAUAUCGUAAGGAAGACCAGUGGCGAAGGCGGGUCUCUGGACAGUUCCUGACGUGAGGCACGAAGGCCAGGGGGAGCAAACGGGG